rnacentral:misc_RNA from 1 species
UAAAUGUGACACUUAAUGUGACUUGCAACGGUCGUGAAUCAUCGAGUCUUUGAACACAUACCGAACUGUUUCACUCUCGGGUGAAAUGGUACUUAUUUGUCAGUGUCAGUUUUUAUUCAUUCAACUAUAAACCUGCGAUGCGAUGUGCAGUUGCUAGUAGGUUCAAUCGAUUUAUGAUCGAACACCCUGUCCUUGGUAAGUAACUAGCCACUCUAGUAGCACUGCUACCCGAGCUGGUGGGUACCUCAGUAGGUUCGCCUGCUGGAUGGAUACCUCAGUUAUGGAAGAGGCGAUCAGAUCUCAGACCCAAUAAUGAGCACGAGCGUUUCGCUUUGGCAUACGCUUCGGUUGUAUAUUAUCCAGGCUAGAUCUAGUCACGUGUUUUUUACUCUGACCUGACUUGUAAGUGGCUACCCACUGAAUUUAAGC